rnacentral:rRNA from 1 species
CUAGUUGGCGAGGUAACGGCUCACCAAGGCAACGACGGGUAGCUGGUCUGAGAGGAUGGCCAGCCACAUUGGGACUGAGAUACGGCCCAGACUCCUACGGGAGGCAGCAGUGGGGAAUCUUGCGCAAUGGCCUAACGGCUGACGCAGCGACGCCGCGUGUGGGAUGAAGCUCUUCGGAGUGUAAACCACUGUUGCCCGGGACGAACAGCUCGAUUAGUCGAGCCUGACGGUACCGGGUGAGGAAGCACCGGCUAACUCCGUGCCAGCAGCCGCGGUAAUACGGGGGGUGCGAGCGUUGUCCGGAAUCACUGGGCGUAAAGGGCGCGUAGGUGGUUUGAUAAGGGUGUGGUGAAAGUCCGGGGCUCAACCCCGGAUCUGCCGCGCCGACUGUCAAACUCGAGGACUGUAGAGGCAGACGGAAUUCCGGGUGUAGCGGUGGAAUGCGUAGAGAUCCGGAGGAAGACCGGUGGCGAAGGCGGUCUGCUGGGCAGUUUCUGACACUGAGGCGCGACAGCGUGGGGAGCAAACAGGAUUAGAUACCCUGGUAGUCCACGCCGUAAACGAUGGGUACUAGGUGCCUGGGGGAGCGACCCUCUGGGUGCCGGCGCUAACGCAGGAAGUACCCCGCCUGGGGAGUACGACCGCAAGGUUGAAACUCAAAGGAAUUGACG